rnacentral:lncRNA from 1 species
CGUCAUCACCCAGAGUCCAUAGGUUACAUUAGGGUUCAUACUUGGUGUUGAACAUUCUGUGAAUUUUGGCAAAUGUAUAAUGACCUGUACCCACCAUUACCUUAUUAUCAUACAGAGCAGUGUCACCGCCCUAAAAAUCCUCUGUGCUUGGCUUGUUCAUCCCUGCCUCCCCCCAGCCCCGGCAACCACUGAGCUUUUUAAUCUCUCCAUAGUUUUGCCUUUCCAGAAUGUCAUCUAGUUGGAAUCAUACACGAAGCAGCCUUUUUGGGGUGGCGUCCUUCACUUAAGAAUAGGUUCCUCCAUGUUUUUUCAUAGCUUGGUAGCUCAUUUCUUUUAUACCACUGAGUGAUAUCCCAUUGUUUGCAUGGAUCGCAGUUUAUCCAUUCACCUGCUGACGGACAUCUUGCUUGUUUCCAAGUUUCAGUAAUUACGAAUAAAGCUGCUAUAUGCAGGUUUUUGUGGACAUAAUUUUCAACUCCUUUGGGUAAAUGCCAAGGAACACGAUGCUGGAUUGUAUGAUAACAGUAUGCUUAGUUUUGUACAAAACCACCAAUAACUGUACCAUUUUGAGUUCCCACGAGCAAUGAAUGAGAGGCACGCGACUUUGAUGAGCUCAUUGCCGUGUUAUUCUUGUUAGUAGGAGCUCCACCUUUCUGGCCAGACCCCAGCCAUCCAAUCUCACUGGGACUCCUACAGGUAGCAUUUGGCACUCGGUGGAUGUACCUUUGCUCCUUACUAAUAAUUACAGCUCAUAGCAAGCACUUCAUAUGAGCUGGGAACUGGGCAGAGGUCUUUCCAUAUCUUGUCCCAUUGACCCUCACAGCAACCCUACGGGCCAGGCAGUAUGACAGUCCACAUUUACAUACAGGACAACUGGGUCUCAGACGUGCUCAGUGGCUUGUCCAAGGUCACACUGCUGGCAGGUGGCAAGGUGGGAUUUGAACUCUCUGCAAGUGACCCCCUGACUAGGCUGCUCCCUGGUGCCUGUCUCUCCAUCUUACUUAGCUGUGAGCUCUUUAAGGGCCAGGACAAUACCUCAUUUUCCUGGAAGUCACCCCUACCCUGUGCCUGGUGCCUCACCUGUUAGGACACCAGUGAUGCUGGUUGGGUCCUCAAUGGCCCUCCCAGUCCUCUGUCGUAGGCUCUGCUCUUUCAUGUGAGUUGUCCCCAAGAACCCUGCCUUGUCUCUAUCAUCCCUCCCAGGCCCCUUCACCCUCAUAGCCCCAGUUUUCCUUUUGGGCUGUU